rnacentral:rRNA from 1 species
AGUGAACGCUGGCGGUAGGCCUAACACAUGCAAGUCGAACGGCAGCACAGUAAGAGCUUGCUCUUACGGGUGGCGAGUGGCGGACGGGUGAGGAAUACAUCGGAAUCUACUUUUUCGUGGGGGAUAACGUAGGGAAACUUACGCUAAUACCGCAUACGACCUACGGGUGAAAGCAGGGGAUCUUCGGACCUUGCGCGAUUGAAUGAGCCGAUGUCGGAUUAGCUAGUUGGCGGGGUAAAGGCCCACCAAGGCGACGAACCGUAGCUGGUCUGAGAGGAUGAUCAGCCACACUGGAACUCAGACACGGUCCAGACUCCUACGGGAGGCACCAGUGGAGAAUAUUGGACAAUGGGCGCAAGCCUGAUCCAGCCAUACCGCGUGGGUGAAGAAGGCCUUCGGGUUGUAAAGCCCUUUUGUUGGGAAAGAAAAGCAGCAGGUUAAUACCCCGCUGUUCUGACGGUACCCAAAGAAUAAGCACCGGCUAACUUCGUG